rnacentral:sRNA from 1 species
GGCGCUCCGGUAAGUCGUGUGUGCGGCGGGGCGGGGACAGAACCGUCCUCUCGGGCUCUGGGCGUGUCCGAGACCGCGCUCCCCGCCGAAAUCAAGCUCCGAGUCAUCCGUGUGGGGCAUUCGUCCUCCCUGGCACAGUUGGCCUCUUUCCAGAAGCCCGUUUUGUUUGUUUUACGUCUAAAUUCGCGUCGGUUCUUAUUUCUCUCCCUGGCAAGGUCUGAAGACGGCUGUGUCAGCGUGUUAUGAUGCCGUCCCGUACCAACCUGGCUACCGGAAUCCCCAGUAGUAAAGUGAAAUAUUCAAGGCUCUCCAGCACAGACGAUGGCUACAUUGACCUUCAGGUAAAUGCAGAAGAGAACUGACAAGACUGACUGGCUGUGUUUCUGUUGAGUUAGCAGGAAGACCUUCCAGAUGGAGAUUUUGCUAACUGUCCUUGGGGAUUAGAGGGAGCAAAAAGAAGAAAACUCAGCUCUGAGACCCUUUCAGCCAUAAUCACAGAAGAGGGCCGUGGCAGGUUUAAGAAAACCCCUCCUAAGAUCCCUUAUAAGGCCAUCGCACUUGCCACUGUGCUGUUUUUGAUUGGCGCCUUUCUCAUUAUUAUAGGCUCCCUCCUGCUGUCAGGCUACAUCAGCAAAGGGGGGGCAGACCGGGCCGUUCCAGUCCUGAUCAUUGGCAUUCUGGUGUUCCUACCCGGAUUUUACCACCUGCGCAUCGCUUACUAUGCAUCCAAAGGCUACCGUGGUUACUCCUAUGAUGACAUUCCAGACUUUGAUGACUAGCACCCACCCCAUAGCUGAGGAGGAGUCACAGUGGAACUGUCCCAGCUUUAAGAUAUCUAGCAGAAACUAUAGCUGAGGACUAAGGAAUUCUGCAGCUUGCAGAUGUUUAAGAAAAUAAUGGCCAGAUUUUUUGGGUCCUUCCCAAAGAUGUUAAGUGAACCUACAGUUAGCUAAUUAGGACAAGCUCUAUUUUUCAUCCCUUGGCCCUGACAAGUUUUUCCACAGGAAUAUGUAUCAUGGAAGAAUAGAGGUUACUCUGUAAUGGAAAAGUGUUGCCUGCCACCACCCUCUGUAGAGCUGAGCAUUUCUUUUCAAUAGUCUUCAUUGCCAAUUUGUUCUUGUAGCAAAUGGAACAAUGUAGUAUGGCUAAUUUCUUAUUAUUACGUAAUUUAUUUUAAAAAUAUCUGAGUAUAUUAUCCUGUACACUUAUCCCUACCUUCAUGUUCCAGUGGAAGACCUUAGUAAAAUCAAAGAUCAGUGAGUUCAUCUGUAAUAUUUUUUUUACUUGCUUUCUUACUGACAGCAACCAGGAAUUUUUUUUAUCCUGCAGAGCAAGUUUUCAAAAUGUAAAUACUUCCUCUGUUUAACAGUCCUUGGCCCAUUCUGAUCCAGUUCACCAGUAGGUUGGACAGCAUAUAAUUUGCAUCAUUUUGUCCCUUGUAAAUCAAGAUGUUCUGCAGAUUAUUCCUUUAACGGCUGGACUUUUGGCUGUUUCCCAAUGAAACAUGUAGUGGUUAUUAUUUAGAGUUUAUAGCCGUAUUGCUAGCACCUUGUAGUAUGUCAUCAUUCUGCUCAUGAUUCCAAGGAUCAGCCUGGAUGCCUAGAGGACUAGAUCGCCUUAGUUUGAUUCUAUUUUUUAGCUUGCAAAAAGUGACUUAUAUUCCAAAGAAAUUAAAAUGUUAAAAUCCAAAUCCUAGAAAUAAAAUGAGUUAACUUCAAACAUUUCAGAAAA